rnacentral:rRNA from 1 species
UACGAAGGGGGCGAGCGUUAUCCGGAUUCACUGGGUUUAAAGGGUGCGUAGGUGGGCGAGUAAGUCAGUGGUGAAAUCUCCGGGCUUAACCCGGAAACUGCCAUUGAUACUAUUCGUCUUGAAUGUUGUGGAGGUAAGCGGAAUAUGUCAUGUAGCGGUGAAAUGCUUAGAUAUGACAUAGAACACCGAUAGCGUAGGCAGCUUACUACACUAUGAUUGACACUGAGGCACGAAAGCGUGGGGAUCAAACAGG